rnacentral:rRNA from 1 species
AGUGAACGCUGGCGGUAGGCCUAACACAUGCAAGUCGAACGGCAGCACAGUAAGAGCUUGCUCUUACGGGUGGCGAGUGGCGGACGGGCGAGGAAUACAUCGGAAUCUACUUUUUCGUGGGGGAUAACGUAGGGAAACUUACGCUAAUACCGCAUACGACCUACGGGUGAAAGCAGGGGAUCUUCGGACCUUGCGCGAUUGAAUGAGCCGAUGUCGGAUUAGCUAGUUGGCGGGGUAAAGGCCCACCAAGGCGACGAUCCGUAGCUGGUCUGAGAGGAUGAUCAGCCACACGGGAACUGAGACACGGUCCAGACUCCUACGGGAGGCAGCAGUGGGGAAUAGUGGACAAUGGGCGCAAGCCUGAUCCAGCCAUACCGCGUGGGUGAAGAAGGCCUUCGGGUUGUAAAGCCCUUUUGUUGGGAAAGAAAAGCAGCAGGUUAAUACCCCGCUGUUCUGACGGUACCCAAAGAAUAAGCACCGGCUAACUUCGUG